rnacentral:rRNA from 1 species
UACAGGGGGUGCAAACGUUGCUCGGAAUCAUUGGGCGUAAAGCGCACGUAGGCGGUUCGUUAUGUCGGAUGUGAAAGCCCUUGGCUUAACCGAGGAAGUGCAUCCGAAACUGGCGAGCUAGAGUACGAAAGAGGAUCGCGGAAUUCCCGGUGUAGAGGUGAAAUUCGUAGAUAUCGGGAGGAACACCGGUGGCGAAGGCGGCGAUCUGGGGUCGAUACUGACGCUGAGGUGCGAAAAGCGUGGGGGAGCAAACAGG